AUCUUUGCGCAGUGGCGAUAUCGUAACCAAUGAGGUUCUACCGAGGUGCGAUUAUUGCUAGUUGAAAACUUUUAUGCGAAUCUAUACUAUUAUAAAUAUGUGUAAUAGAAAUUUUAAAAUAUAUUUCCGACACUUAAAU
rnacentral:snRNA from 1 species